ensembl:lncRNA novel transcript, antisense to STAT4
UAUAAAGCUUCAACAAUUUAUAAAAUGAGCCAUGGGAACAUGUGAACAAGUAGGAUUAUCUACACCAGAAAAGUCAGGGUGGGGGGUUGGAGGUGGCAGGGUCACCUGAAAAGAAAGGAAGGUCAACACUAAAUAUGCAUUACUAAGUCAGAAUCCUGUUUGCAUUUGAAAUCAGAAAUAAUAAAAACAGUCUAAUGUGAUGAUAUGAAUAACAAUUCUGUGAUUAUGUGGGAAGACUUCCUUGAUAAUGAGAAUGCUACAUUUAAGAUUCGUUAUUGAGAAGGAAGUAGAUCUUUGUGAUACCUUACAUUGCCUGCAGAUAGUUAUAUUGACAAGGGUGGAAUCACUUCUUACUGGGUUAGUAGAAAGUUAUGUUUAAUAAACAUUCUGCUUAAAAAUCCCUAAACCACCCCUAAAAGUACUCCCAGCACGUCAACACAUCAAACAGCCAGUUCCUCUUCCUCAGCCCCUUUAUGUUAAAUAAGUUGCUCUUUCUUUGGUUGCGCUUGAGACGGACUAGUUGUCUUGAGUAUAGGCACCAAGAAGGUGUAUUUUUGAACAAUAGAAAAUCUCACUGCCCACUAGGGAGGGGAUGCUUACACUAUGCAAAACACGAGACAACUGAAGAAUCUACAACUUCCACUUCAUGUUCACUAAUGGGGGUGCCUUUCACAUUAUCUCUGAGUUCAAUGGUGCAGAACAUUUGAGAGGCCUCAGGCAAGUGCACAGAUAGAGACCCAAUACUGUAUAUAAAACAUUUAACCAUUAUCAAUCAAGUUAACAAACUGUUAACAUAUGUUCUAGCCUCCUGCCUUGACAUAUCCUUCACAUAACCGAAUUGGCCAGGUUUUAGCUCCUUGAAGUCUUACUGGAACAUGGUGGCAUGGGUAAAGAUAGCACAGCCAUCUUGAGCCAUUGCCUGUCCCCUUUGCUUCUACCUCUGUGAAGGGCCUCGCAUGACCAGUGUGGCCUCUAGGUCUCUCCUGUGCCUAGAUAUGUUUGCACUGAAGGUGUCAUCUGUGCUUGGGAGAGUAGACCUGGAGAGGCCUACACAGACCCUGGAAGUGGGCUUGAGGUCUUCUGGGCUAAGAAUUCUGGGGUCCUGGAUUCUGGGUGAGCACAUUGCCUUAACCCCACAGAAGACUUUCUUUGUAGGGAGGACUGCAGCUGGAGGAUGGUUGAAGGAAAACUUUCGGAGUGAGGUGCUAUGAUAUUGUGAUAUAAUAAGAAAUCUAUAUUUGGUCCCUGCACCUGGUUACUGAGACAGAGCUCCUAAGACCUUUCUAGAUGGAGAUGCCAGAAACUGCAGUCGAUUCGUUUUACCAGUUCUGAAGCUGGUCGAGCCCAUUGUGGAGUGGACCCCCGAUGCAGGCGAUUUGCUGCCGCCGCUUCCAGUCUUGCAGCUCUUCUAUGAGCAUGGUGUUCAUUAACAGGUCUGUCUCAUGGAUGAUUUGGGUCAUUUUACUGAGAGCCUCCUAAAAACAAAGGGGACUACUGAAGAGAGUUUCAUAAGAAAUAAGUCACUUAGAAUUCAAUUUACAAAACUAUUUGACCUGGUAGACAAAGGCUUGGUUAAAAUUUUGACCAAAUAUUUUACUAAAUGCUAGCUUCUAUUUGCCAGGCCUUUUCAAACAAUUAAAUUAUUGACAAUAAAUGAUGUCAUGAGAAAAGAAGAAUGGCCACAGUUUAACAUUCUCAUCGUGUUUCAGUAUAAAUAUAUUGAAUGUGUAACUCCUGCGGCAACAAUAUUGAAUCUUGUAGUAACAAAACUGUAUAGUUGCUUAUUAAAAGGAUAUUUAUAUAUGUAAUUUAUUUUUUAAUAAAGAUGGUUAUUCAUUUAUAUUAAAAUGAGCUGACUAAAA